GAUGAACGCUGGCGGCGUGCUUAACACAUGCAAGUCGAACGAUGAGGCCCCGCUUGCUGGGUGGAUAGGGGUGACCGGGUGGUUAGCAAGAGAGUAACAUGCCCUUAUCUCUGGGAGAAGACCGGGAAACUGGGUCUUCUACCGGAUAGGAGCGUCCACCGCAGGGUGGGUGUUGGAGAGAAUUAUCGGUGUUGGAUGGACUCGCGGCCUAUCAGCUUGUUGGUGGGGUAGUGGCUCACCAAGGCGACGACGGGUAGCCGGCCUGAGAGGGUGACCGGCCACACUGGGACUGAGAUACGGCCCAGACUCCUACGGGAGGCAGCAGUGGGGAAUAUUGCACAAUGGGCGCAAGCCUGAUGCAGCGACGCCGCGUGCGGGAUGACGGCCUUCGGGUUGUAAACCUCUUUCAGCUGUGAAGAAGCGAAAGUGACGGUACCGGCAGAAGAAGCACCGGCUAACUACGUG
rnacentral:rRNA from 1 species